GACGAACGCUGGCGGCGUGCUUAACACAUGCAAGUCGUACGGUAAGGCCCUUUCGGGGGUCCACGAGUGGCGAACGGGUGAGUAACACGUGAGUAACCUGCCCACAACUUUGGGAUAACGCUAGGAAACUGGUGCUAAUACUGGAUAUGUGCUCCUGCUGCAUGGUGGGGGUUGGAAAGCUCCGGCGGUUGUGGAUGGACUCGCGGCCUAUCAGCUUGUUGGGGGGGUAGUGGCCUACCAAGGCGGCGACGGGUAGCCGGCCUGAGAGGGUGACCGGCCACAUUGGGACUGAGAUACGGCCCAGACUCCGACGGGAGGCAGCAGUGGGGAAUAUUGCACAAUGGGCGCAAGCCUGAUGCAGAAACGCCGCGUGCGGGAUGACGGCCUUCGGGUUGUAAACCGCUUUCAGCAGGGACGAAGCUUUUUGUGACGGUACCUGCAGAAGAAGCACCGGCUAACUACGUG
rnacentral:rRNA from 1 species